AUAGUUAUUAUCACAGUUUCCAGAUGUUGCUCGGAUUGUAAUCUAUGGGUUUUAAAAUAUUUAAUAAAGCUGCUGCAUUAAUAGAAGAAAAGACUUGUUCCCGCCCGGUUUCGAACCGAGGACCUUUCGCGUGUUAGGCGAACGUGAUAACCACUACACUACGGGAACUGAGCUGCGCCUCGUUCCCUGACAGCGCUCUUUUGAAGUAUGAACCGCGUAUUUUCUAUAUUAUAGCUCUGGUCCAUUCUGAAGGCAGUUGUCUAUGUAGUAGUCAUUGCCUUUUAAGGCGGCUCUGACGUUAGCAGCAUUUUAACCGAUAAGGAUCCUUAUUUAUGAGGCAGCGCGUUCAGGACACGAUGGAGUCAGCAUACGUCAUUACGUCCAGCGCGCUGUGCUCGUAUGGAACGCCCUUUGGGUCUUUACGUCUACAUUGACGUCCGUGUUAAUGAACGUCUUAAGACGGCAAAUCUUACCGUGUUAACACGUUACUUUUGGACGUCUUAAGACGGCAACUUGUGCCGUCCUAACACGUAACUUUAAAAUUGGGUGAUACCACUGCACUCACAUCUGAGGGGGGGAAUCCAAACACUGCAAAAAAGCCCCUCCAAAGACCCACCCUGACCUCGCCCCCAUUCUUUGGCCCGCAACGCUGACCAUAGCACCUGUGAUGCUCCUUAUCUGGCAACCCUGGCCGCAGCGUUGGCGCAGAAGAAAUGAAUCAGCAGAGGCUUCAAGCAAUAGCUGAUCGAUUUCAACAGCUUGUUAAUCGAGCAUCUGCAACUGAAGGCAGGCCUUCCACUUCUGGGACAAUGGUCGACAGCGGAAUCAACAGUGAAAAAAGUUGUAGUGCCACUCUCCAUGCCAGAAGCUGCUUUUAAUGAAAAAAUAAGAGAAGAAUUUCCUGCUGUACAAGGAAAAUGGGGAAGAAGAGGUCAGGAAAAUCCACGGCAUGGGGGAUGGAAUGCUGGAGGAAAACCAGAACAUGUUGGAAGAACAAAACA